rnacentral:rRNA from 1 species
AUCAGGGCUCAAAACGCCCGCUGGCGGCACGCCUAACACAUGCAAGCUCGAACGAGCCAUUCGGGUCUAGUGGCGCACGGGUGCGUAACGCGUGGGAAUCUGCCCUUGGGUUCGGAAUAACUCUUGGAAAUUUGUGCUAAUACCGGAUGAUGACGAAAGUUCAAAGAUUUAUCGCCCAGGGAUGAGCCCGCGUAGGAUUAGCUAGUUGGUGAGGUAAAGGCUCACCAAGGCGACGAUCCUUAGCUGGUCUGAGAGGAUGAUCAGCCACACUGGGACUGAGACACGGCCCAGACUCCUACGGGAGGCAGCAGUGGGGAAUAUUGGACAAUGGGCGAAAGCCUGAUCCAGCAAUGCCGCGUGAGUGAUGAAGGCCUUAGGGUUGUAAAGCUCUUUUACCCGGGAUGAUAAUGACUGUACCGGGAGAAUAAGCCCCGGCUAACUCCGUGCCAGCAGCCGCGGUAAU